GAACCGUCCAAAAGUUUAUUCGGAAUCACUGGGCUUAAAGGGUGCGUAGGCGGCGCGGUUAGUCGGAUGUGAAAUCGUACAGCUCAACUGUACAACUGCGUCCGAAACUGCCGUGCUCGAGGAAGGCAGAGGUGAGCGGAACUCAGGGUGGAGCGGUGAAAUGCGUUGAUAUCCUGGGGAACACCGGUGGCGAAGGCGGCUCACUGGGCCUUUUCUGACGCUGAGGCACGAAAGCUAGGGUAGCGAACAGGGAUUAGAUACCCUGGUAGUCCUAGCUGUAAACGAUGAGCACUAGAUCGAGGAGACUUCCACCAUCUUCUCGGUUCGUAGCGAAAGUGUUAAGUGCUCCGCCUGGGAGUAUGGUCGCAAGGCUG
rnacentral:rRNA from 1 species